CGUAGGUGGCAAGCGUUGUCCGGAUUUAUUGGGUUUAAAGGGUGCGUAGGCGGUUCCAUAAGUCAGUGGUGAAAUACGGCAGCUCAACUGUCGAGGUGCCAUUGAUACUGCGGAACUUGAGUACUGAUGAGGUAGGCGGAAUUGACGGUGUAGCGGUGAAAUGCUCGGAUAUCGUCAAGAACACCGAUAGCGAAGGCAGCUUACCAAGCAGUAACUGACGCUCAGGCACGAAAGUGCGGGGAUCAAACAGGAUUAGAUACCCUGGUAGUCCGCACAGUAAACGAUGAUUACUCGAUGUUGGCGAUACACAGCCAGCGUCUUAGCGAAAGCGAUAAGUAAUCCACCUGGGGAGUACGCCCGCAAGGGUG
rnacentral:rRNA from 1 species